GGAAUCUUCCACAAUGGACGAAAGUCUGAUGAAGCAACGCCGCGUGAGUGAAGAAGGUCUUCGGAUCGUAAAGCUCUGUUGUUGGUGAAGAAGGAUAGAGGCAGUAACUGGUCUUUAUUUGACGGUAAUCAACCAGAAAGUCACGGCUAACUACGUGCCAG
rnacentral:rRNA from 1 species